GAUGAACGCUAGCGGCAGGCUUAAUACAUGCAAGUCAAGGGGUCAGCAAUGACACCGGCGGACGGGUGAGUAACGCGUACACAACGUACCUUUAACUGGGGGAUAGCAUUUGGAAACGAGUGGUAAUACCGCAUGUGGUUGUAGGGAGGCAUCUUUUGCAACUAAAACUCAGGUGGUUAAAGAUCGGUGUGCGUCCGAUUAGCUUGUUGGUGAGGUAAUGGCUCACCAAGGCGACAAUCGGUAGGGGCGUGAGAGCGUGAACCCCCACACGGGGUACUGAGACACGGACCCGACUCCUACGGGAGGCAGCAGUAAGGAAUAUUGGUCAAUGGAGGCAACUCUGAACCAGCCAUGCCGCGUGAAGGAAGAAGGCGCUAUGCGUUGAAACUUCUUUUGGGUGGGAAGAAAAUGGUCAAUUUAUUGGCAACUGACGGUACCAUCAGAAUAAGCACCGGCUAAACUCCGUGCCAGCAGCCGCGGUAAU
rnacentral:rRNA from 1 species